UGGGGAAUAUUGGACAAUGGGCGCAAGCCUGAUCCAGCCAUGCCGCGUGAGUGAUGAAGGCCCUAGGGUUGUAAAGCUCUUUCACCGGCGAAGAUAAUGACGGUAACCGGAGAAGAAGCCCCGGCUAACUUCGUGCCAGCAGCCGCGGUAAUACGAAGGGGGCUAGCGUUGUUCGGAUUUACUGGGCGUAAAGCGCACGUAGGCGGACUUUUAAGUCAGGGGUGAAAUCCCGGGGCUCAACCCCGGAACUGCCUUUGAUACUGGAAGUCUUGAGUAUGGUAGAGGUGAGUGGAAUUCCGAGUGUAGAGGUGAAAUUCGUAGAUAUUCGGAGGAACACCAGUGGCGAAGGCGGCUCACUGGACCAUUACUGACGCUGAGGUGCGAAAGCGUGGGGAGCAAACAGG
rnacentral:rRNA from 1 species